rnacentral:lncRNA from 1 species
UCCAAAGAACCCACGGAGGCGAUACCAGAGCUAAGAUUUCUCGAGUCCUGCCGGCUCACAUAGUCAUCACAACUGCCAUUAGAGAGCCUCUGAACUGGCACAGAGUUUAGAAGCUCCAGGCCUCGUUUGCCCAUUUGCUGCACUUCCUGUGGGGAAAGUAUCUUGAUACACCAGACACUGUUCACGAACUCCCUGGUUUGAAGAUAAAAAACUCCGGAAUUAGCAAACGUAGGCAUGCAAAACCCCAGAAGAGAUUUAAAUGCAUGCAACAAAAACGAUUGAAGUUUAUGCGUGUCGAAAGUAGUUUUAUACGACAGAAUGCAAUAAUUUAUUAUAUACUAAAUGAACUCAAACAUGCAAUCUAGGGUACUCAAAAAAAAUCUAGUAAGAAUGGGAACUCACGGCCAGGGGUCAUCGCCAAGGAGAAGAACAUCAUUCUCCCGGUCAACAAAUACAAGCUGCCAGCCUGAUCUCAGAGGGUCCUCCAACUGGCCUUCAAGGCCAAACAUAUGUGCCAGUUCACUGCGAAGUUCAUUGUAGUUGCUGAAUGCAGAAAUAUCCAAUGAUCUCCCGAAGGACCC